ACGAACGCUGGCGGCGUGCUUAACACAUGCAAGUCGAACGGAAAGGCCUGCUUUCCCUUGUGGAUUGCGGGUGCUCGAGUGGCGAACGGGUUAGUAACACGUGAGUGAUCUGCCCCCAACUUGGGUAUAAGCCUGGGAAACUGGGUCUAAUUCCCGAUAGGACUGCAGGGUGGUGCCUGUGGUUGAAAACGAUUUUCUAGUGGUUGGGGAUGAGCUCGCGGCCUAUCAGCUUGUUGGUGGGGUAAUGGCCUACCAAGGCGGCGACGGGUAGCCGGCCUGAGAGGGUGGACGGCCACAUUGGGACUGAGAUACGGGCCAGACUCCUACGGGAGGCAGCAGUGGGGAAUAUUGCACAAUGGGCGGAAGCCUGAUGCAGCGACGCCGCGUGGGGGAUGACGGCCUUCGGGUUGUAAACUCCUUUCGACCGCGAGGAAGCCGCCUGGUUGGAAGGGUGGUGACGGUAGUGGUAGAAGAAGCACCGGCUAACUACGUG
rnacentral:rRNA from 1 species